GCGCUAUUUUACCAACUUGGGCGCUCGGAUGAGAGCUAUCUGGGGAUAUAGGACAUGUGGGGGUUCCUGUGUGUUUUUACUGUUUUAUGGUUUAUGUUUUUAUGUUCAGCUCUCUGUAUUCGGGAGAUAAUUCAUUUUCUGGUCAGUAACUCAAUUUUCUUCCAGACACAGAGACGCCUGGGCGGACACUAUGUACAAAACAAUGGAGAAUCCAUGCUGGGG